rnacentral:lncRNA from 1 species
CCCCUGGACUCUACAUGUUCUCCCUGCCCAUCCUACUGUCACUGCCCUUCUAAUACUGUCCACUCUGCCCACUGAAGCCUCUACUCCACAGUAAAUAAGCUCUCCCCUUGGUCUUCAGCCUUUCCUAGAUCUCCCUUAGCUGUAUGACUGAAAUGAAAUCAGAACUCCCUGAAAUGUGUGAUGGGGAUAAGCUGGAAACAAUGUCUAACUUCUCAUGCCUAUGUGCCUACUCUGUUCUACUCUAGUGUAAAAACAUUGUGGUGUUUUUCCUUUUGUUUUGUAGAGACAGGAUCUCAUUUGAUCACCCAGGCUGGAGAAUGCAGUGGUACGAUCACAGCUCAUUGUAACCUGGAACUCCUGGGCUCAAACACUUCUCCCGCCUCAGUCUCCCACGUGAGUUUACAGAUUUCCUGA